AUGGUAUCUUCACAAGCUGCGGCUAGUUCAGGACUCCAUUUGCAAGCUGCUCGGAUAAUUUCAUUACCUUCGUGAGCAAGAUCGCGCCCUUCGUUACGAGCUUGUACACAGGCUUCUAAAGCCACUCGAUUAGCUGCUGCACCAGGUGCAUUUCCCCCAGAUCGAACAAGGGAUCUUCUUGGAAAUGGGAAGAUCUAG
rnacentral:rRNA from 1 species